GUGUCCAAGGAGGAAAAGGCAGUGAAAACUUUGGGGACAGAUUUCCUAGACCAAAGCCCAUGAAUUCCUCUGAGCAUCUACCCUCAUCCCAAGUAUCUGCAGUCAUACAUGUGUAGAUUGUGGACUGUAGAAGACAGGUUUAGCAUGACUUUAAGAUGAUUUCUUCUGAAUUUUUUGAUUCAUUUUUCUACUACCAGGUCUGACAGCUGUGUCGCGGUGACACGGGGGGCAUCAUGGAACCAAACAAACCCUGAGACAUUUCAGAAUCCCACGUGUGUUGGAGUCUCAUGGCACCAAAGGACUGCUGGGACACUGGGGGAACUCACGGAAUCAAGCUGCCAUUGUUACCCUGCCCUGCAUCAUGGAAGCAAAUGUUCCCUGGGAAACUACAGAAACCAGGGAAUUAAGAGACGUCAUUGGGACGUGCGGGACCUCAUGGAAUUAAACAAACCCUGGGAUAUCUUUGGAACUUCAUGGAAUCAAAGGGAUAAAACAAAAGAAUUAAACCCAAUGACCAGAAA